GCUGGUGUGGCUCAAUGGCAGAGCACCUGAUUUGUAAUCAGGCGGUUGAUGGUUCGACUCCGUUCACCAGCUCCA
rnacentral:tRNA from 1 species